UCCGACGUAGCUGCCCCAAAGUCCUGCCGGGACACCCGACGCGCCGGCCGUGCACGCUGACACCGUGUGCCGGCCCUCGUGUCCCUUUGCACCCUUCCUAACCCGGUACAGCCAAACCGGCCGGACGCGGAGGCUUCGGAUGCUCCCGGGGGGGAGGUGCUGGGCGCUCCCCCCCCCCGCCCCGGGCGGUGGGAUUUGGUGGGAAAGCUCCUGGCGAGGGGCAGGGAGGGAGGACGGGACGAGGGAGAGCAGCAGGAUGGGGCCGGGGCCGGUGCGCGGGAGGAAGGGAGGCUGGACGUGGAUGUGUGCUCAGCAAUAGGAAAUGCUUUAUUAGCUGGGAGUGGUGGAGAAAAGCCAGGCAGGAAGAGGCAGUAAUAAGAAACAUUUUUUUGACUUCUCCCACAUCCAGAUCGCAGCGCGCUUGCCAAACGGCUGCGUUUGGGCAGCGGGGACGCGGAGCGGAGCCCCGGGGUGGGGCCGGGACCCGGGACGGGUGACACCGGGGCCGCGGCGGGAGGUCGGGCGGGGAGGGCAGGGCGUGGACCCAUGCGGCUCCAGCAGGCCGCGGCGCCCGGCACGGAGGAGAGCUGCCCGGGCUGAGCCCAGCGCCGGAGCCGGGCUCGGGGCCGAGUCGCAGCCGCUGGUGGCGAGGAGGAGGAAGAGGAGGAGGAGGAGMGGARCCRGGGUCGGGCAGCGCUSCGCGGGACCCGCCGGCCGCCCGGGGCUGAUGCUGCCCGGGGAAGGGGCAGAGCUGUAGAAAAAUGCCCCGAGGAGCCGCCGGCGCGGCGCUGCUGGCAAUSCUGACCGUUUCGCUGGGCUUCGCCGCCGGYGAGCUGCUCUGCGCCUGCGACGUGCCGCACUGCAACGUCUCCACGUGCCGGGGGAAGGUGUGCUUCGUCAGCAAGAGCAGGGAGGGCGGCAGCGUCACCCGGCGCAAGGGCUGCUUCUCGCAGCACCUCCUGGAGAGCUGCCGCGGCCCCGUCAUGGAGCACUUCGGCACCAAGUGCUGCAACGCCAGCAUGUGCAACGCCCACCUGGAGAUCUACCUGCGAGGUAGGAGCGGGCCACGGUGCCGUGUCGUGCCGUGCCGGCCGCACAGUGCCCCAGUCCCAGCCGGCGUUGCCCCCCGGCAGGCGAGGAGGCGCCGGGGCCGGCGGCC
rnacentral:lncRNA from 1 species